rnacentral:rRNA from 1 species
UCCCCGGGCUCAACCUGGGAACUGCAUUCGAAACUGGCAGGCUUGAGUCUUGUAGAGGGGGGUAGAAUUCCAGGUGUAGCGGUGAAAUGCGUAGAGAUCUGGAGGAAUACCGGUGGCGAAGGCGGCCCCCUGGACAAAGACUGACGCUCAGGUGCGAAAGCGUGGGGAGCAAACAGGAUUAGAUACCCUGGUAGUCCACGCCGUAAACGAUGUCUACUUGGAGGUUGUGCCCUUGAGGCGUGGCUUCCGGAGCUAACGCGUUAAGUAGACCGCCUGGGGAGUACGGCCGCAAGGUUAAAACUCAAAUGAAUUGACGGGGGCCCGCACAAGCGGUGGAGCAUGUGGUUUAAUUCGAUGCAACGCGAAGAACCUUAC